rnacentral:rRNA from 1 species
UAAGGAAUAUUGGACAAUGGAGGCAACUCUGAUCCAGCCAUGCCGCGUGAAGGAAUAAGGCCCUAUGGGUUGUAAACUUCUUUUAGACGGGACAAAACCCCUUUACGUGUAAAGGGUUGAUGGUACUGUCAAAAUAAGCAUCGGCUAACUUCGUGCCAGCAGCCGCGGUAAUACGAAGGAUGCAAGCGUUAUCCGGAAUUAUUGGGUUUAAAGGGUGCGUAGGCGGACUAAUAAGUCAGUGGUGAAAGCCUGCAGCUUAACUGCAGAAUUGCCAUUGAUACUGUUAGUCUUGAGUACAGUUGAGGUAGGCGGAAUGUGUCAUGUAGCGGUGAAAUGCUUAGAUAUGACACAGAACACCGAUUGCGAAGGCAGCUUGCUAAGCUGUAACUGACGCUGAGGCACGAAAGCGUGGGGAGCAAACA